AUUGACUGGGAUCACUUGUGGAGAAAUCGCAAGGAAAAACCAGCCACUGCAGCAGCAGCAGCAGCUCGGGUGGUGGAGUGGCUUCACACAAAUAAUGAAAAAAACGUGAAAAAGUUUCUAGGAUCGGAGUUCUGGAAGCGGAAGCGCACUGUGAGGAGCCAGCUACCCAGAUGCCUUCCGCUUGUUUGCCAACUGUUCCUCUCAUGCUGUCGAUACAGGUUUGACAAACAUCCCAAUUCCUGUGAGGAUCGUCUUGUGUGGCCACUCAAUUUUGUUUUCGGCUCACCGGAGGGCAUCCUCCUCUGUUCCGGGCACACAGCUGCAGCUGUCGGCCUCAGCUACGGUUCAGUGGGAUGAACGGAAGGGCAUGUUAUGGGAUGCGUUGUUGCCUGCCAUGUGCCGAAUCAUGUCCUCUGCUAAUAGGCCACACAUCGUGUUGAUUCAUUUGGGAGAAAAUGAUUUGGUGCAGCGUCCUGCGUUGGAUUUGCUGCUGAAAGUUACGCGUGAUCUCACGUGGCUUAUCCGCGUAUAUCCCAAUCUUAUAAUUGUAUGGUCCGAAAUGCUUGUUAGAAGGAUCUGGUGGGGUGCAUUGCACCCCAAUAAGAUAGAUAGAUCUAGGAAAUGGGUUAAUAGGAAGGUAAGGGAGCUAGUUUUAUCCUUGGGUGGGGCAGUUAUGCCUCAUGAAAGGAUUAAGUUCCAUGCCCCACAUUUGUUUCGUGAUGACGGUGUUCAUCUUUCUGAGCAAGGGUGUGACAUUUUUUUGGAGGAUCUUAUGGGGGGAUUAAGGGGGUUGUUAUCUUCAUUGGGUGGAGGGGACCAAGCUUAAGCUGAUCCCCUCUUGUGGCAUAGAAUUCGGGCAGGUGAGGUAUAUGGGGGUUAAAAUUAGGUGGUUAAGGCAUCCUGAAAAAGGGGCACUCCACAGGGAACCAUCAGGGCUUGGUGUCUGGUGGCGAUCUGGGUUGUGUCCUUGUGGGACCUGCUUGCGCAUCAGGGUGAACGCCUGUACGGCGGGGCCAUGGUGUGGAGGUGGGAACCACACAGCUGGCUCCAAGAGCAAGGAGGGAGGAAUUCACACACGUCCUUGACUCUCGGGUUACGUAAUGACGUGAAUGGAUGCCUUUAGAAGGUGAGGGUGUAAUCCCUCGUUGUUAGGUUUAGCCUCACCUGCCCGAAGAGUUGGAUAUUUGAAUAAUUGGCUGUAUUGCAUUUGAUUUACGAUGUUAUAUUUUAAUAAAUAUAACAUUAUACCA